rnacentral:rRNA from 1 species
UGGGGAAUAUUGCGCAAUGGGGGCAACCCUGACGCAGCCAUGCCGCGUGAAUGAAGAAGGCCUUCGGGUUGUAAAGUUCUUUCGGCAGCGAGGAAGGCAUUUAGUUUAAUAGACUAGGGGAUUGACGUUAACUACAGAAGAAGCACCGGCUAACUCCGUGCCAGCAGCCGCGGUAAUACGGAGGGGGCGAGCGUUAAUCGGAAUAACCGGGCGUAAAGGGCACGCAGGCGGUUUAGUAAGGCGGGGGGU